UCUUCUGACCAUUCUGACCAUCUUGAUAUAUCUGAGAUUUUACCUAUACCAGCCUUUAGGGAGUCUACUAUAGCUCCUCCUUCACCUUCCGCCACAGAAAUCUCACCCGAGUCUACUAUAGCUCCUCCUUCACCUUCCGCUACAAAAGUCUUACCCAUUCCAACCAUUGGAGAGUCUAGUGUAGCUCCUCCUAGACUCCCUGCCACAGAAACCCCACUCUUGACAUAUCAUCGUCGUCCUCGCCCAGCAUCCGG
rnacentral:lncRNA from 1 species